GAAACAUCAGGAUGAUUAUAAAAUGAGCAGAGGAACUUCGCUUCCUGUCAGAAGCUAAACAUGAAGGGGGUUGAGAUCUCACAGAUGCAAGAUUCUUGCCUUUCUGGAGACAUUGAAGUCAUUGAUCCAAGAAAUAGUCACCAUUGACAGCAUACCAAUAAAAGGUCAAUGUAUUUCAUCAUAAUGAGCGCUUCCACGUUUGAAGACUUCUGUCCGGAGGUUUUUAACAAAGUGGUCUGCAUUUUAGACCUAGAUGAUGUAAACCUGAAAGCAACCCAUGAAGACGCCAGAAGAAUCACCCAAGACGUUUUACCCAGUGUCCAGAGCAGAAUUGAUAGUGGAACUUUGAUUCUGAUGUCAGAGGACGAAGCCCCGCCAGAUGAUGCCAUGCAGUCUGUUAUAUCAGAUAUUUUAAGACUGCUUGAGGAUAAGGCCACAAGUCCUGACCCUGUUGAUGAACCAGAAGGUCUUUGUGAAUGAGAAAAAGAAAAUGAGACAAAAGCAGUCAAACACUUCAGGACAACACGGAACAGGAUAAAAACACCUAUGUCUGUGCCAUUUGCACCAAAGCUGAAGAAAACUGAGAGACAGAAAGAGCAAUAUGGUUGUUAUAAAGCCCAUGUGGUUUAUGGCUCGAUGGGAGGAUUGGAUUUACCUGAUAUUAAACUAUAUCAACGGUCUGCACAUCUAAGAUACAUUUCGGAUUGGGUUGCUUUUGAUAACUCUUCUACUUGGUUGGACCAUGAACAGUCGUUGUCAAAAUGUUCCUUUUGAAGAUCUGUUGUUUCUCAAAAACGUGCCAUCCGUAUUGGAGAACUAUGAUUA